AGCGAACGCUGGCGGCGUGCUUAACACAUGCAAGUCGAGUGAAGGAAAUUCCUGUAGCAAUACAGGGUUUUUCAUCCACGGCGCACGGGUGCGUAACACGUGGGUGACCUGCCCUAAGAUGGGGAAUAACCCCGCGAAAGCGGGGCGUAAUACCGCAUAAAAUUACCGCGACAUUCGGGUUGCGGAUUCAAAGUCUUCGGACGUCUUUGGAGGGGCCCGCGGCCGAUUAGCUAGUUGGGGAGGUAACGGCNCACC
rnacentral:rRNA from 1 species